rnacentral:rRNA from 1 species
UGGGGAAUAUUGCGCAAUGGGCGAAAGCCUGACGCAGCGACGCCGCGUGUGGGAUGACGGCCUUCGGGUUGUAAACCACUGUCGGGAGGGACGAAUGCGCCGCAAGGCGAGUGACGGUACCUCCAAAGGAAGCACCGGCUAACUCCGUGCCAGCAGCCGCGGUAAUACGGAGGGUGCGAGCGUUGUCCGGAAUCACUGGGCGUAAAGGGCGCGUAGGCGGCCUGGUAAGUAGGGGGUGAAAUCCUGCGGCUUAACCGCAGGGCUGCCUUCUAAACUGUCAGGCUCGAGCACGGUAGAGGCAGAUGGAAUUCCCGGUGUAGCGGUGGAAUGCGUAGAGAUCGGGAAGAACAUCAGUGGCGAAGGCGGUCUGCUGGGCCGUUGCUGACGCUGAGGCGCGACAGCGUGGGGAGCAAACA